rnacentral:other from 1 species
AAUACCCUGCCUUGUUCGUGAUCGGGCCGAAUUCUCUGACCCAACAUUAACCAUCAGGGAGCUCGGAGUUCGGGCGGAGCCCACAUGCCCCUUUCGGGGGGACUUGGAAACCGUUCGGCUGAGCACCCACCUCGUUAGCGAGGAUCAGGGAUGGCGCCCCAACGACUAUGGCGGGGUAUUU